CAGGCUUCCACGAAUCUCCCCGCCGCCCUCAAUUCCCCUCGGCGCCGCCGCCCUCAAUUCCCCUCGGCGCCGCCGCCUCCUCCCCUCGCUUCGGUCCUCGGUUAGUUAACCAUCCAGGUUCUGUCAAGAUGUCUGAUAGCCAUGAGACUGACAGGAACAUUGAGAUUUGGAAAAUUAAGAAACUGAUCAAGGCAUUGGAAUCAGCCAGAGGCAAUGGCACAAGCAUGAUCUCUCUAAUCAUGCCUCCACGUGAUCAGGUUGCUCGAGUGGCUAAGAUGUUAGGUGAUGAAUAUGGUACUGCUUCGAACAUCAAGAGUAGAGUUAAUCGUCAAUCUGUGUUGGCUGCCAUCACCUCAGCUCAGCAGAGGUUGAAGCUCUACAACAAAGUGCCUCCUAACGGAUUGGUUCUGUACACUGGAACUAUUGUUACUGAAGACGGAAAGGAAAAGAAAGUUACUAUUGAUUUUGAGCCAUUCAAGCCUAUCAAUGUGUCACUCUACCUUUGUGACAACAAGUUCCACACUGAGGCUUUAAAUGAGCUCUUGGAAUCUGAUGACAAGUUUGGGUUCAUUGUUAUGGAUGGUAAUGGUACUCUUUUUGGCACACUAAGUGGCAAUACCCGUGAAGUGCUUCACAAAUUCACUGUUGACCUCCCAAAGAAGCAUGGUAGAGGAGGGCAGUCUGCUCUGCGUUUUGCUCGGCUUCGGAUGGAGAAACGCCAUAACUAUGUCCGCAAAACAGCUGAACUUGCUACCCAGUUUUUCAUCAAUCCAGCUACUAGUCAGCCUAAUGUUGCAGGAUUGAUUCUUGCCGGUUCUGCAGAUUUUAAGACUGAGCUGAGCCAAUCUGACAUGUUUGAUCAGCGACUCCAAGCCAAGAUACUUAAUGUGGUUGAUGUUUCGUAUGGUGGCGAGAACGGUUUCAACCAAGCUAUUGAAUUAUCUGCUGAGAUUCUAGCAAAUGUGAAAUUCAUUCAAGAAAAGAAGUUAAUUGGCAAGUAUUUUGAAGAGAUCAGUCAGGAUACUGGGAAAUAUGUCUUUGGUGUUGAUGACACUCUGAAGGCUCUUGAAAUGGGUGCUGUCGAGACCCUGAUUGUGUGGGAAAAUCUGGAUAUCAACAGAUAUGUGAUCAAGAACAGUACUACUGGGGAAAUUAUUAUAAAACAUCUGAACAAAGAGCAGGAAGCUGACCAGAGCAAUUUCCGUGACCCAUCUACCAAUACUGAUCUCGAAGUUCAGGAAAAAAUGUCUCUCCUGGAAUGGUUUGCCAAUGAAUACAAGAAGUUUGGUUGCUCGCUGGAGUUUGUGACCAACAAGUCUCAGGAGGGAUCCCAGUUCUGUAGAGGAUUUGGUGGCAUUGGUGGCAUGUUGCGCUACCAGCUGGAUAUCCGUUCUUUUGAUGAGCUUUCUGAUGAUGACGAUGUGUAUGAAGACUCUGACUAGCAAUCAGCCAAUCUCAUGCCAGGGCUGGCCCAUGGAAGGACGCAACAGCUCGACCUCGCCAUACCUACGCAGGAGCACACGAAAAGCAACUAUCCAAGGAUUAAUGGGCAUGGGCCAGCGUCAUCCUCUUCAAGAGGAGCUUAAGACUAAGAUGAUUUUGAGUCACAAUCAUGGGAGUAACGUGACAAGAAGAUACCCUACUAUAUCACAAUUAUUCCAGUAAUGCGUCGAGAAGAUACCGUUGUUUAAGUGCACAAACCAAUACAGUGACGUGCCAAGAAGUUACCGUAUUUUAAGGAUGUUUAAUUUUCAGUAUUCGUCGGGGUAGUACUGUGUCAGAAACUUAUUUGUACCUAAAAAGGCCAAAUAUUGCCGUUGCCUUGGUGCUUUAUGCUAUGUUAUCGUCUUUUGUGAGUCUGUGUGCUAAGGUUGUUGCUUAAUGCUUUGUGACUCGCAAGCUGCUACUCUUGCAGUUUUUGCAACGACGAAGCUAUGAUAUGGAGUACAAUUCUGUGUC